AUUGAACGCUAGCGGGAUGCCUUACACAUGCAAGUCGAACGAGUGGCGAACGGGUGAGUAAUGUAUCGGAACGUGCCCAGUAGCGGGGGAUAACUACGCGAAACGUAGCUAAUAACGCAUACUAUUGGAUCUGCCGCUAUCGGAUUAGCUAGUUGGUGGGGUAACGGCUCACCAAGGCGACGAUCCGUAGCUGGUUUGAGAGGAAGACCAGCCACACUGGGACUUGGCCACGGCCCAGACUCCUGAGGGAGGCAGCAGUGGGUAAGUUUGGCAAAUGGGGGAAACCCGGAUCCAGCCAUCCCGCGGAUGCGAUGAAGGCCUUCGGGGUGUAAAGCACUGUUGGCAGGAAAGCGGUACCUGCAGAAUAAGCACCGGCUAACUACGUGCCAGCAGCCGCGGGAAUAC
rnacentral:rRNA from 1 species